rnacentral:rRNA from 1 species
UACGUAGGGUGCGAGCGUUAAUCGGAAUUACUGGGCGUAAAGCGUGCGCAGGCGGUUUGUUGUGUCUGAUGUGAAAGCCCCGGGCUCAACCUGGGAAUGGCAUUGGAAACUGGCGAGCUAGAGUGUGGCAGAGGGGGGUGGAAUUCCGCGUGUAGCAGUGAAAUGCGUAGAGAUCAUGAGGAAGACCAGUGGCGAAGGCGGGUCUCUGGACAGUUCCUGACACUGAGACACGAAGGCCAGGGGAGCAAACGGG